UACGGAGGGUGCGAGCGUUAAUCGGAAUUACUGGGCGUAAAGCGCACGUAGGCGGUCAGGCAAGUCGGGUGUGAAAGCCCUGGGCUCAACCUGGGAAUUGCAUUCGAAACUAUCUGGCUCGAGUAUGGGAGAGGGAAGCGGAAUUUCCGGUGUAGCGGUGAAAUGCGUAGAUAUCGGAAGGAACACCAGUGGCGAAGGCGGCUUCCUGGACUAAUACUGACGCUGAGGUGCGAAAGCGUGGGGAGCAAACAGG
rnacentral:rRNA from 1 species